CUUGUACACACCGCCCGUCACACCAUGGGAGCGGGUUCUGCCAGAAGUAGUUAGCCUAACCGCAAGGAGGGCGAUUACCACGGCAGGGUUCGUGACUGGGGNG
rnacentral:rRNA from 1 species